rnacentral:rRNA from 1 species
GUAUGGGAGAGGAUGGUAGAAUUGCAGGUGUAGCGGUGAAAUGCGUAGAGAUCUGGAGGAAUACCGAUGGCGAAGGCAGCCAUCUGGCGUAAUACUGACGCUGAGGUACGAAAGCAUGGGGAGCAAACAGGAUUAGAUACCCUGGUAGUCCAUGCCGUAAACGAUGUCUACUAGCCGUUGGGACCUUUGAGGCUUUAGUGGUGCAGCUAACGCGAUAAGUAGACCGCUUGGGGAGUACGGUGGCAAGACUAAAACUCAAAUGAAUUGUCGGGGGCCCGCACAAGCGGUGGAGCAUGUGGUUUAAUUCGAUGCAACGUGAAGAACUUUACGUGGUCUUGACAUAGUAAGAACUUUCCAGAGAUGGAUUGGUGCGUUCGGGAACUUACAUACAGUUGGUGCAUGGCUGUCGUCAGCUUGUGUCGUGAGAUGUUGGGUUAAGUCCCGCAACGAGCGCAACCCUUUUCAUUAUUUGCCAGCGGGUUAAGCCGGGAACUUUAAGGAUUCUGCCAGUGACAAACUGGAGGAAGGCGGGGAAGACGUCAAGUCAUCAUGGUCCUUACGACCAGGGCUACACACGUGCUACAAUGGUCGGUACAAAGGGUUGGUACCUAGCGAUAGGAUGCUAAUACAAAAAGCCGAUAGUAGUCCGGAUUGUGAGUCUGCAACUCGACUCCAUGAAGUCGGAAUCGCUAGUAAUCGCGGAUCAGAAUUCCGCGGUGAAUACGUUCCCUGGGCUUUGUACACACCGCCCGUCACACCAUGGGAAUUUGUUGCACCAGAAGUAGGUAGUCUAACCGCAAGGAGGACGCUUACCACGGUGUGGCCGAU